ACUGACCAUCACCUACUCGUCUGAAAGUUGUUGUCAAACAAAAGUAAUCCAGAAACUGAUACAAGAGACAGACGUUUCCAUAAUAUAAAAGGGACACUAGCUUUCUGAGCUGGAAUUGCCUGGAUUUACAGUAACAGCUUUCUAGUCUGAUAAGCUAGACCAGUAUGUUUAUAAUAUCAGCGCAGAAAUACUAUUGAUUUAAUUAUUGUAACUGUGAAGACUGUGAUGUAAAUGUCAACCCUGUUGACGCAACAUUCAAGCUGGUAUUACCCAAUACAAUUUAAGACGAUGCAUUAGAUUUACUUUCCCCUGUUGGGAGUUUGCCAAGGCGUUGCAGCCUGAGUCAACUGAUCGGUAACCUGCUACAAUGCUCACAUGACAGUCAUUGACUUUAACAAUCCAACAUGGCUGCGCUGUACGGCGGAGUGGAAGGAGGAGGUACUCAUUCUAAAGCAGUUUUAAUUUCUGAAGAUGGGCAUAUCCUGGCCGAAACAGCUGGGCCUUCCACAAAUCAUUGG